AUUGAACGCUGGCGGCAGGCCUAACACAUGCAAGUCGAACGGUAGCACAGAGAGCUUGCUCUCGGGUGACGAGUGGCGGACGGGUGAGUAACGUCUGGGAAACUGCCCGAUGGAGGGGGAUAACUACUGGAAACGGUAGCUAAUACCGCAUAACGUCGCAAGACCAAAGUGGGGGACCUUCGGGCCUCACACCAUCGGAUGUGCCCAGAUGGGAUUAGCUAGUAGGUGGGGUAAUGGCUCACCUAGGCAACGAUCACUAGCUGGUCUGAGAGGAGGACGCGCCACACUGGAACUGAGACACGGUCCAGACUCCUACGGGAGGCAGCAGUGGGGAAUAUUGCACAAUGGGCGCAAGCCUGAUGCAGCCAUGCCGCGUGUAUGAAGAAGGCCUUCGGGUUGUAAAGUACUUUCAGCGGGGAGGAAGGCGAUGUGGUUAAUAACCGCAUUGAUUGACGUUACCCGCAGAAGAAGCACCGGCUAACUCCGUGCCAGCCGCCGCGGUAA
rnacentral:rRNA from 1 species